UUUCACAUCAAAUUUGUUUUUGAUAAUUUCUUUACUAUAAUAUUUUUUUUUAGCUUUCUUGAGAAGAUUUGCGUAAAAGCAGUUAUAACUUUUGGAUCGCCAUUGGAUGGGAAAAGAUUUAUUUUAAAGAAUAUUGGGAAGUGAUCACUAAUAUCAGUUUUAAAAAUACCUGUCUUAAAUGACGUUUCUAUAUAAUUGUUAAUAAAGAUAUAAUCGAUUGCAGUUGCCGAACUUUUAAUAACCCUAGUUGGUUUAUUUAUAACUGGCUGCUGACAAAGAACAUGAAUGGUUAGUUUGAUCAGAAGUAAAUCAAAAAUAGUGUAUUCUUAAAAAGAAAAAAGAACAAUAACGAACAAAAAGAGUGAGUGAAGUGAAGUAAAGUUUAUUAUUCUACUCGACAGAAAAGUGAAAUUUUGCUAAAAAAAACUAGGUUUUAUAAGACCUUGAAGCCAUUGAUGGCCGUAUCCCAAAUAUUUUUCGGUGGGAAAGUGUUCAGGCUUUGGAUUGCUUCCGCCUUUCGGUUUGCGGCCAAUUUUUAUCAGAAACAAUUGUGAGUUCAAAAUUAUUUCUGAUAAAAGUUCUUUGCCAGUUUACAAUUUUUUACGCUAAUUUCGAAACUAGUAUCAGAUUUUUUGUUGCACGUUUUUUUAUGAUGAAAGCGUAUAUGCUAAUAAUUUUCAAUAAUAAUGUUGGCAAAGUAUUACUUUGUUCAACAUUUUAUUGGAUUUGUCUUAUGUAUUUAAUGAUAAACAUUUAACAUAUUUC